AAGUCGUAACAAGGUCUCCGUUGGUGAACCAGCGGAGGGAUCAUUACUGAGUUCUUACAAACUCCAACCCUUUGUGAACCAUACCAUUGUUGCCUCGGCGAGAGCUGCGGCUGCCUGGUAGUUGUCCUGUAGCCAUCUGCUCGGCACCUAUCCUGUAGCAUCAGCGUACAAGCUCGCCGAAGGACCACUAAACUCUGUUUGACAGUGUAUUCUGAAUGCUUCAACUAAAUAGUUAAAA
rnacentral:misc_RNA from 1 species